UACAGAGGUCUCAACCGUUGUUCGGAUUCAUUGGGCGUAAAGGGUGCGUAGGCGGUCGGGUAAGUCGGAUGUGAAAUCUCAGGGCUCAACCCUGAAACUGCAUUCGAUACUGCUUGGCUAGGGUACUGGAGAGGAGACUGGAAUUUACGGUGUAGCAGUGAAAUGCGUAGAUAUCGUAAGGAAGACCAGUGGCGAAGGCGAGUCUCUGGACAGUUACCGACGCUGAGGCACGAAGGUCAGGGGAGCAAACGGG
rnacentral:rRNA from 1 species